rnacentral:rRNA from 1 species
CUGAAUGGGGCAACCCGGCUAUUUAUAGUCAUCUUUAACUGAAUACAUAGGUUAGGGAAGCGAACUCAGGGAACUGAAACAUCUUAGUACCUGAAGGAAAGGACAUCAACCGAGACUCCGUUAGUAGUGGCGAGCGAACGCGGACCAGGCCAGUGGCUGGUUAAGAAAAAUUAGAAUGCAAUGGAAAGUGCAACCGUAGUGGGUGAUAGUCCCGUAUAAGUAACUUCUUUUCCAGUCCUCGAGUAGGGCGGAACACGUGAAAUUCUGUCUGAACAUGGGGGGACCACCCUCCAAGCCUAAGUACUCCUAUCGACCGA